rnacentral:rRNA from 1 species
UACGGAGGGUGCGAGCGUUGUCCGGAAUCACUGGGCGUAAAGGGCGCGUAGGCGGCUCAUGAAGGCUGUGGUGAAAGUCCGGGGCUCAACCUCGGAUCGGCCGUGGCGACUCGUGGGCUGGAGCACUGUAGAGGCGGGUGGAAUUCCGGGUGUAGCGGUGGAAUGCGUAGAGAUCCGGAAGAACACCAGUGGCGAAGGCGGCCCGCGUGGGCAGCUGGCUGACGCUGAAGCGCGACAGCGUGGGGAGCAAACAGG